GGAAAGAUACAGGGUGUCUCGUCCUGAUGAUUGGAUAAGCACAUCAGGCCACAUGAAAAUGAGAGGAAAACAAAAGAGACGAGGUGAAAGUCACACAGAGACGCCCGACUGAGAUGAGAGAGAGAGAGAGAGAGACAGAAACAGGAAAUGUGAGCGUCUUCCUCUUCCUCCAGAACACUUAAAAUGCUCAUCUGUGUUUCCUCAUUGUGCAGUGAUGGCAUGCAUAAUCAGCGUUCCUGAUGUCAUACGGUGUCAGAGAGGGUUUGAACCGCCGGCGUCUCUCUCUGAUGAAGAUGUGAUGGGAUGUUCUUCCCCGCCGAGACUCGUGCAAUGCUGUCAGAUCCUCCUCGGGCUCCAUUUGGGAGUUUCUGCAGGUUUUUGCUGUGAGCGUGUGAAGAACUGAACGCUGGAGUAAUUACGCUCUGCUGGCUUGCUGAAUUUCACAGGCUUUCAGGAACAAACCACUCAAACACAAAUCCACAGACGUUCUUCCUGAACUCGCCAGACAAUUGUGCUGCUGAAGGUCUCAGCGGCCCUGAAAGAAGCCUGCUGUCUACGGAGAGUUGAGGAUAUUGUCAGCGCUGAGCCAGGAGAGCUGCGUCUGAGUUUGUCAUGAGGAUCUUUAGAGAGUCUUCUGGCGUUGUUACAGAUGAGAGCUGCCAUGUGUGCUAAAAUCGUUAAAGAAUCAGUGUUUGUUCACUGUUACUCUCUAGGGGCCCUAAUAGGGGAACUAGAGCACAAUGACUGAGAUUCAGGGCUCAGUGGGCUCUAGUACAUCAUCUCUCAACUGCAAUGCAGCAGAUCCAGACCUGCCUGAUGUACCGACCGCUGUGACUGACUCAAGACAUCCCCAAAAUCCCAUUACCCUCAUCCGUCUUCUGCUUCUGCAACAUCCUGCUGGUGAUCACGCAGGUCUUCAAAGAUGCAAGCAUUUGGUGAAACAAAACAGCUGCUUAUUUAAAUGUUUUAAAGGAGUAGUUUGCCCCAAAAAUUGACAUGUCGAUCCAAACCCAUGUGAUUUUCUUUCUUUCAUGAAAAUAAGUGCAGUGAUGGUGUAUGAUAUCUUUGUGUGAUGAGUAAACUUGUUUUGACUGAUAAUCUUUCCCCUUCAUCGAAGAUCUGAAAUGGACUACAAAAAUGAGACAACGACAUCAUUUGAUGUUCAUUUGACUGAUUCAAAAUACCUUUGCUUCUCUCUUGUCCCAUAAGCAAAUGUAAUUUCAAACCUGAUGCAGCACAUUGAAAAACACUUCAUAUUUGUUUUAGCUACAGAUUUUCAGUAUACAGUGUCUUAUAUAUAUAUAGUAUUUAUGCCUACGCACACAAAUUGUUCAAAAGUUUGGGGUUGGUAAGAUUUUUUUACAAGCUUUCGAUAGACAUCUCUUAUGCUCACAAAGGCUGCAUUUAUUUAAAGAAAAUCACAGUAAAAACAGUGAUAUUGUGAAAAAUUAUUAUAAUUCAAAAUAUUCUAUUUACUAAUUUAAUAUAUUUUAAAAUACAAUUUAUUUCUGAUUCAAAACUGAAUUUUUUAGCAUCAUUACUUCAGUCUUCAGUGUCACAUGAUCUUCAGAAAUCAUUCUAAUAUGCUAAUUUGCUGCUCAAGAAACAUUUCUAAUUAUUAUCAAUGUUGGAAACAGUUGUGCUGCUUUAUAUUUUUCUGUGAACUGUGAUCAGUUUUAUUUUCAG
ensembl:lncRNA